GUAACCUGCCUCAUACAGGGGGAUAACAGUUGGAAACGGCUGCUAAUACCGCAUAAGCGCACAGUACCGCAUGGUACCGUGUGAAAAACUCCGGUGGUAUGAGAUGGACCCGCGUCUGACUAGGUAGUUGGUGGGGUAACGGCCUACCUAGCCGACGAUCAGUAGCCGACCUGAGAGGGUGACCGGCCACAUUGGGACUGAGACACGGCCCAAACUCCUACGGGAGGCAGCAGUGGGGAAUAUUGCACAAUGGGGGAAACCCUGAUGCAGCGACGCCGCGUGAGCGAUGAAGUAUUUCGGUAUGUAAAGCUCUAUCAGCAGGGAAGAAAAUGACGGUACCUGACUAAGAAGCCCCGGCUAACUACGUGCCAGCAGCCGCGGUAAUACGUAGGGGGCAAGCGUUAUCCGGAUUUACUGGGUGUAAAGGGAGCGUAGACGGCAUGGCAAGCCAGAUGUGAAAGCCCGGGGCUCAACCCCGGGACUGCAUUUGGAACUGUCAGGCUAGAGUGUCGGAGAGGAAAGCGGAAUUCCUAGUGUAGCGGUGAAAUGCGUAGAUAUUAGGAGGAACACCAGUGGCGAAGGCGGCUUUCUGGACGAUGACUGACGUUG
rnacentral:rRNA from 1 species